rnacentral:rRNA from 1 species
AACGUAGGGUGCGAGCGUUGUCCGGAAUUACUGGGCGUAAAGCGUGCGUAGACGGUUAUUUAAGUCAGGUGUGAAAGCCCCGGGCUCAACCUGGGAAUUGCAUUUGAGACUGAAUAGCUAGGGUGCGGAAGAGGGAAGCGGAAUUUCCGGUGUAGCGGUGAAAUGCGUAGAUAUCGGAAGGAACACCAGUGGCGAAAGCGGCUUCCUGGUCCAGCACCGACGUUCAGGCACGAAAGCGUGGGGAGCAAACAGG